CUUGUUUCUCAGCCUUUUGUCUAAGAUCAAGUGUAGUAUCUGUUAUUAUCAGUUUAAUAUCUGAUGCAUCCUCAAUAAGAGAACUUUAAUAUAAAUGGAUUUUUGGGCCUAGGAGUUGGACCUGGAGCUUGCUCCCUUUGAUCCACACGUCGUCUUGGUAUUGCAGUGCCUCUGGGAAUGGUGCACCCGUA
rnacentral:snRNA from 1 species